ensembl:lncRNA
UAACAAGGAGGAAAGUCUGUAGGGAAGCAAUUCCAUCUUGCUAAAAAAUGUGAAUGAAUUACCUAAACUUGUUGUUAUUAGUGCUGGCCACUUCCUCCUUGCCAUUGAAUUGUGUAAUGUCAACCCCUGUUUUUGUUAGUUUGAGCCGAGCAGCAGUUGCAGGUUGCUGUAUUUCAGACAUCAAGAAGGUGGUUGUUCUCACUUCAUAACUUUGCUGUUUUAAGCAGGCACGGGAGACUGGCUUAGUGAAGACAUUGCAAAUGACCUGUGGACGCUUUGGCAUCAAAGCAGAAUUAUUUCUAGUAAUGAUUAAAGAGGAGAAACAGGAGGACGGAUUUAUUGUACCAGAAGGUAUCCACAUCCCCGUGUGUUACUGCAUCAAAAGUAACAAGGGCCUUCCACAGUCUACAGGCAGACUGAAACAUUGCUCCCCAGAAGUAUUCCUUUCUCACUGUAACGAAGCAAGAAGUUACUGUAGUUGGAUUUUGGGCUUAUUUACCAAGACUGAAGUGCGACUGAUUACCCCUGCAAGAGCAUUUCCAGCACAAAUCUGGGAAAGACAACCCCGAGGUUUCAAUUUUCUGCCCGAGGCAGGCCAGGGCUCUGAGCAGAGAUCCCCCCACACCGGCCAGGCAGGCAGGCAGCGGCCGGGCCUGCAUGGGCUGAAGGCACCUGCUCGGUUUUCCUUGGCCAAGCUCUGUCCGUGCCUGUGGAGAAUGUGACGCUGCUGGUGCUUGGGCUGGGGCUGUGUCUGCGUCUCUCAGGUGAAAAUCCUAAAUCUCUCGUUACCACCUUCCCAGCCAAAAAAGACAUUUUAUCAGUCUGUGUAAGCUGGAGGAGCGUCCCAAGGAAAGGGUGGCCAGGCCCCAGGUACUUCUACAAGGUGCUGUUGUUUUUUUUUCGGCCCAGGCCUCAAACAGGAGCAUGCAGCCAGUGCCUGGCUCUGGUCCCUGGCCUCCAGGAGAGCUGCAGCAGGUUUCCACUGGUUUUCCCUCAGUACAUGGUGCAGGCAGCCGGGUCUCUGCAGGCACUGGCUCCAGGCCCUCCUGCGUGCCUUUAGCAGGUGUCUCAGGGAAGCCUGGAAUAUCCCAGCCUCAGGGGCGAGUCGAUUCCUUGAUUCUGUGCUGUCACUUAAUUUCCACCGCUCUGUCUUUCUCCUGAGAAUAUGGCUUCUGACAGUGCAUUUGCUGCCAUCUCAGUCAGGCCCACUCGCACCUUGCUCCAGGGAGAGGCGACAUAAAGCCCUCCUUGCUCAACAAGCGAGGCCCUUGUGCUGCCGUUACAGAGCACUGACUGGAGGCAAAACCCAAGCUGGUAUUGCUCGUGCUCAAUCAGUGGUGUUGCUGCCGAUGGUGCUGGUAGUUCCUGAGCUGUGUCUGCUAGGCAGUCUGGGAAAGCAGUAAGGAGUGGCCUGGAAGAGAAACCGCUUUGGAACAGCCAGGCGUGCAGAGCCUGAGGUGGCCGCAAUGUACAGCUCCUGCUCCGUGGCCAUGAGACCAGACGACUCUGUGCUCUGCGAGGUAGGCCACUCUUUUUCCUGUGGUGCUACUUUCCUCCCUGAGUUGAUACAUCAGAGGUUUCACUUCUGUGUCAUGGUUGGGACUGUUGAUUGAACUCUCUUCUGUUGGCAGAAUUUCUGUGCUUUGCCUGGUAGAGCUAUUGCUUCUCACAGCAAUGCUUCUGUUACUGCAGGUUUUAAUUACUGCUCACUGAGGGUUGGAU